GCCAGCUGGAUGGAGAGAGAGAGUGCUGUAGCACACAUAUUGCUUGAAUUUCCCAGCCCCAAAAGUGGGAGGAGAGGAAGUCCCACCCGUGGCCCCUUUGUUGGACCCAGAAGUCUUGCCUGCCAGCUUUUUCGGGCAACAUGGGA